CCUACGGGUGGCAGCAGUAGGGAAUAUUGCUCAAUGGGGGAAACCCUGAAGCAGCGACGCCGCGUGGGUGAUGAAGGUUUUCGGUUUGUAAACUCCUUUUGGUAGGGAAGAUAAUGACGGUAUCUAACGAAUAAGCACCGGCUAACUACGUGCCAGCAGCCGCGGUAAUACGGAGGGUGCAAGCGUUACUCGGAAUCACUGGGCGUAAAGGGCGCGUAGGCGGGAUAGCAAGUCAGAUGUGAAAGGCUAUGGCUUAACCAUAGGACUGCAUUUGAAACUGUUAGUCUAGAGUAUGGGAGAGGUAGGUGGAAUUCCUGGUGUAGGGGUAAAAUGCGUAGAGAUCAAGAGGAAUACUCAUGGCGAAGGCGACCUGCUAGAACAUAACUGACGCUGAGGCGCGAAAGCGUGGGGAGCAAACAGGAUUAGAUACCCUUGUAGUC
rnacentral:rRNA from 1 species